UCACAUGUGAAUAGUAAAGAUUUUGUUUUUGUUGUAAAUAGUUGAAUAGAGAGUUCACAUGUAAAUAGUAUUAAUAUGUUUACAAUGCUAUAAAUUGGUGAAUUAUCCUUCAUAUUCAUAUUGCAUUCUACUUUCAAUCUUCCAACAAUCUUAAAAUUCUUGUUAUUUUUCAAAUUUUCUAAAGUUUUUAAAAGCCUUUUCUUUAUAAGAUAUGCAUCCGUCAAAUGUAUACGUACAUCCUGGUCCAGUAGAGCAUGAUGUAUUAAAAAUUCAAGUUCAUCAUCGUUCCGAAGGAAUUUGGAAUGGUAGCAUAAAA